rfam:Firmicutes bacterium CAG:552 genomic scaffold, scf49
GGGGGUGUACCGGCUUCGACGGAUUACCGCAAGAAAGGUUAUAAGCAUGUGGUAGUGCGGCUACCUUAAAACGCAACUUAAAUUAAACGCUAACAACGUUAAACCCGCAAGCGCUAAGCUUGCACUCGCUGCCUAACUAUUCGGCGGUGCGCUCUUUUCGCUAUUCCCUGUUGCAGUGUUAAGAGCGUCAGUUCAAACAGGCUACUACUUUGACGGUCGGUCGGCCGCCUAAGCAGAUCCACAGACCACGACGUCUAAAUUUUCGACUGCUUUGUAUUUUCGUUAAGACUAAAAGCAACCUAAACAUGUAGAAGAGCCUUUUGGACGUAUUUCGGAAAGGAGUUCAACUCUCCUCACCUCCACCA